UGGGAAUUGAACCCCGGCCCAGAUUCUUACGGGAGGCAGCAGUAAGGAAUCUUCCGCAAUGGACGAAAGUCUGACGGAGCAACGCCGCUUGAAUGAUGAAAGCUUUCGGGUCGUAAAACUCUGUUGUUAGGGAAGAACAAGUGCUAGUUGAAUAAGCUGGCACCUUGACGGUACCUAACCAGAAAGCCACGGCUAACUACGUGCCAGCAGCCGCGGUAAUACGUAGGUGGCAAGCGUUAUCCGGAAUUAUUGGGCGUAAAGCGCGCGCAGGUGGUUUCUUAAGUCUGAUGUGAAAGCCCACGGCUCAACCGUGGAGGGUCAUUGGAAACUGGGAGACUUGAGUGCAGAAGAGGAAAGUGGAAUUCCAUGUGUAGCGGUGAAAUGCGUAGAGAUAUGGAGGAACACCAGUGGCGAAGGCGACUUUCUGGUCUGUAACUGACACUGAGGCGCGAAAGCGUGGGGAGCAAACAGGAUUAGAUACCCUGGUAGUCCACGCCGUA
rnacentral:rRNA from 2 species